GACGAACGCUGGCGGCGUGCCUAAUACAUGCAAGUAGAACGCUGAAGAGAGGAGCUUGCUCUUCUUGGGUGAGUUGCGAACGUGUGAGUAACGCGUGUGUAACCUGCCUUGUAGCGGGGGAUCACUAUUGGACACGAUAGCUAAUACCGCAUAACAAUGGAUGACCCAUGUCAUUUAUUUGAAAUGGGCAAAUGCGCCACUACAAGAUGGACCUGCGUUGUAUUAGCUAGUAGGUGAGGUAACGGCGCACCUAGGCGACGAUACAUAGCCCAACUGAGAGGGUGAUCGGCCAGACUGGGACUGAGACACGGCCCAUACUCCUACGGGAGGCAGCAGUAGUGAAUCUGCGGCAAUGGGUGCAACACUUAGCGAGCAACGCCGCGGGAGUGAAGAAGGAUUUCGGAUCGUAAAGCUCUGUUGUAAGUCAAGAACGAGUGUGAGAGUGGAAAGUUCACACUGUGACGGUAGCUGACCAGAAAGGGACGGCUAACUACGUG
rnacentral:rRNA from 1 species